UUUGGGUGAAAUCAAUUUUUGAUGUUUCAUUUACGAUGAAAAUUAGUAUUUUACCACUCUUAGAG
rnacentral:tRNA from 1 species